AUACGUAGGGUGCGAGCGUUGUCCGGAAUUACUGGGCGUAAAGAGCUCGUAGGUGGUUUGUCGCGUCGUCUGUGAAAUUCCGGGGCUUAACUCCGGGCGCGCAGGCGAUACGGGCAUAACUUGAGUACUGUAGGGGAGACUGGAAUUCCUGGUGUAGCGGUGAAAUGCGCAGAUACCAGGAGGAUCACCGGUGGCGACGGCGGAUCUAUGGGCUAUAACUGGGAUUGAGGCGCCAAAGCAUGCGGUGAGGACAGGCAGAGUUAACUGCGGGUUCCAGGCUGUAACCGUUGGGCUCACGGUUGACGUGCUUGCCCCGCUUCCUGCCCCUUAGCUACAGCAUUAAGCGACCCGCCUGGGGAGUACGGUCGUAAGGCUAAAACUCAAAUGAAUUGACGUGG
rnacentral:rRNA from 1 species